CCCCAUUGGUGUGAGCGCGGAGUCUCCUGCGGGCUCUGCUGGUCACUAAAAUGUGUCUGACGGUGAGAACAUUGAGCAGCAGAAUCAGGAGAAAUGGGACACCCGGGGUUAGAAUGUGGUGGAGGAACUCGAUUGUGACCCAGACACUGGAGAAUCGAACAGCGACUGUUACAUCACAAAACCAGGGGGCGUUCCCCAGCCGAUACCGAGCCGUGAGCAUAAAAUACCAGGAAAUGUUCUUUAAACAGCUCAGCACAGUCACUGCUCCCAGAACCACAGCCGCCGUUUUCUCACUGCAAUAUUUACUUUUCAGCUUCUGGCAACAAAUGGCCACAAACCGAUCAAAGGUGAAAGUGACGGUGAACCAGACAGAGCAGUCACUGGCUGCAUAAAGCAGGACGGCGUGGAUAUUACACACGGGGACGGUGUACAGGAAAUAAAACUGUUCCCGAUAAACAAUGGGGAUGUGUCUCAGGAUCAGGUCGAGGAUAAUGACCAGGAGAUCCGCCGCUGCCAUGGCCCCCAGGUAUCUGUGUUACCUGUUUGGAUACAGGAUUGGCUGGCCAGCAGAAGACAGCAAGUGGUAGCGGAAGGAAAAUAUUCUGCCUGGAAGUCUGUGAAUCCCUGCAGUGUGGAAACAAGCCCUUCGGCCCAACAAGUCCAUACCAACCUUCCAAAGAGUAACCUUCCCAUGGCCUUACAGUUACAACUGACUAGUGCACCUAAAGUAGAAAUCUCUGAACACUAUGGACUAUUGAAUUAUACAGCUUUGGGCUGUGGGAGGAAACGGGAGCACCCAUCAGAAGCUCACGCACACAAGGGGAGAAGAUGCAAACUCCACACAGAUAGUCGCCGAGGCUGGAAUUGAACUCAUGCCCUUGAUGCUGUGAUGGAACAGUGCGAACUACUGAGCCACUGUGCUAACCUGGAACCUCCCGCCAGCCUAAUGCAAAGGGAAUUCAGCCAAAUCCAACUCUCCCAGGAUAAAAUCCCAUUGCUAGCAGCUGUGUGAGUACAAUAUCUUCAGAAGCAGAAUAACAUUUUGGACAAUCUCGCAAUUUUUCCUUUUGUCAUUAGUUGCACUAAUAUUUGGACAAGGUUCUUUCAACGUGAAA